GAUGAACGCUGACAGCAUGCUUAACACAUCAGCAAUUGAUUGGUGGCGGACGGGUGAGUAACGCGUAAAGAACUUGCCUCCCAGGUAGGGACAACAUUUGGAAACGAAUGCUAAUACCUAAUACUGUGAGAGAGCUUUGCGUACCAUUAGCUAGUUGGAGAGGUAACGGCUCACCAAGGCGAUGAUGGGUGGCCGGCCUGAGAGGGUGAUCGGCCACAAGGGGACUGAGACACGGCACUUACUCCUACGGGGGGCAGCAGUGAGGAAUAUUGGACAAAGGACCAAGGUCUGAUACAGCAAUUCGGUGUGCACGAUGAAGUUUUCGGAAUGUAAAGUGCUUUCAGUUGAGAAGCGGUACCAACAGAAGAAGUGACGGCUAACUACGUGCCAGCAGCCGCGGUAAUAC
rnacentral:rRNA from 1 species